rnacentral:rRNA from 1 species
AAGACGGAACCUUACUGUCUCUUUCUCUUUAAUUUGAAUUUCACAAUCCCGUGAAGAGGCGGGAAUUAUCUCGUUAGACGAGAAGACCCUGUCGAGCUGAAGUAAAGUCUUAACCUUUACUCACCCUUAACCCUACCUAAUAAAAUAAACUUAGUAGAAUAAUAAAGGCGUAAAAGAUUAAAACUCACUUUGAUUGGGGCAAUCACGGAGAAAGAAAAUCCUCCGUUACUAACUGUUUAUUAUAUAACUUAGAUUAAAGAGCUAUAACUCUAAAAUCGUGAAACGAAGGAAUGAUCCACUCAUAGUGAUCAAAAGAACAAGUUACCGCAGGGAUAACAGCGUUAUCUUUUCUGAGAGUUCAUAUUGACGAAAAGGUUUGCGACCUCGAUGUUGGAUCGGGACAUCCUAAGGGUGCAGAAGCUUUUAAGGGUUGGUCUGUUCGACCAUUAAAGUCCU